AGCGGCAGACGGGAUAGUAACACGUGGGAACGUACCUUUCAAUUCUGAACAACCAAGGGAAACUUUGGCUAGUACCGAAUACGCCCGUAAGGGGAAAGAUUUAUCGCUGAAAGAUCGGCCCGCGUCUGAUUAGCUAGUUGGUGAGGUAAUGGCUCACCAAGGCGACGAUCAGUAACUGGUCUGAGAGGAUGAUCAUCAUCACUGGGACUGAGACACGGCCCAGACUCCUACGGGAGGCAGCAGUGGGGAAUAUUGGACAAUGGGCGCAAGCCUGAUCCAUCCAUGCCGCGUGAGUGAUGAAGGCCUUAGGGUUGUAAAGCUCUUUCGUCAGGGAAGAUAAUGACGGUACCUGAAGAAGAAGCCCCGGCUAACUUCGUGCCAGCAGCCGCGGUAAUACGAAGGGGGCUAGCGUUGCUCGGAAUCACUGGGCGUAAAGCGCACGUAGGCGGCUUUCCAAGUCAGAGGUGAAAUCCCGGGGCUCAACCCCGGAACUGCCUUUGAUACUGGAGAGCUUGAUUUCGGGAGAGGUGAGUGGAACUGCGAGUGUAUAGGUGAAAUUCGUAUAUAUUCGCAAGAACACCAGUGGCGAA
rnacentral:rRNA from 1 species